UAACAACCUGGAAACAGAUGCUAAUACCGGAUAACAACAGAUGAUGCCUAUCAACUGUUUAAAAGAUGGUUCUGCUAUCACUCUUGGAUGGACCUGCGGUGCAUUAGCUAGUUGGUAGGGUAACGGCCUACCAAGGCGAUGAUGCAUAGCCGAGUUGAGAGACUGAUCGGCCACAUUGGGACUGAGACACGGCCCAAACUCCUACGGGAGGCAGCAGGU
rnacentral:rRNA from 1 species